UACAGAGGUCUCAAGCGUUGUUCGGAUUCAUUGGGCGUAAAGGGUGCGUAGGCGGCGGGGCAAGUCGGAUGUGAAAUCUCAGGGCUCAACCCUGAAACUGCAUUCGAUACUGCCUUGCUCGAGGACUGGAGAGGAGAUUGGAAUUCACGGUGUAGCAGUGAAAUGCGUAGAUAUCGUGAGGAAGACCAGUGGCGAAGGCGGAUCCCUGGACAGUUCCUGACGCUGAGGCACGAAGGCCAGGGGAGCAAACGGG
rnacentral:rRNA from 1 species